rnacentral:rRNA from 1 species
CACACCGCCCGUCACACCAUGGGAGUUGGAUUCACUCGAAGGUGUUGAGCUAACCCGCAAGGGAGGCAGGCGACCACAGUGGGUUUAGCGACUGGGGUG